AAUGAACGUUGGCGGCGUGGAUUAGGCAUGCAAGUCGAGCGCGAACCCCGCAAGGGGUGAAAGCGGCGAAAGGGAGAGUAACGCGUGGGUAUUUACCCUCGGGACUGGGAUAGCUGCGGGAAACUGCAGGUAAUACCAGAUGAUGUCCCCGGACCAAAGGUGUGAUUCCGCCUGAGGAUAAGCCCGCGUCCUAUUAGCUAGUUGGUGAGGUAAUGGCUCACCAAGGCAAUGAUGGGUACUGGGUGUGAGAGCACGACCCAGCUCACUGGGACUGAGACACUGCCCAGACACCUACGGGUGGCUGCAGUCGAGAAUCUUCGGCAAUGGGCGCAAGCCUGACCGAGCGACGCCGCGUGUGGGGAUGAAGGCCUUCGGUUGUAAGCUCUUUUACCCGGGUACGUUGAUAAUGACAGU
rnacentral:rRNA from 1 species